rnacentral:rRNA from 1 species
GACAGAGGGUGCAAACGUUGUUCGGAAUUACUGGGCGUAAAGCGUGUGUAGGCGGUUUGCUAAGUCGGAUGUGAAAGCCCUGGGCUCAACCCAGGAAGUGCACUCGAAACUGGCAAGCUAGAGUAUCGGAGAGGUUGGUGGAAUUCUCGGUGUAGAGGUGAAAUUCGUAGAUAUCGAGAGGAACACCGGUGGCGAAGGCGGCCAACUGGACGAAUACUGACGCUGAGACACGAAAGCGUGGGGAGCAAACAGG